ACUAGGAGACUAAGUUUAAAAGCAGGAUAGUCUCCAAACUAGACUAAAAGCAGAGCUGCAAACAAAGUUGAAUUAAUGCAGGAUAGUCUCCAAACUAGGAGUGCGCACAACAGAGCUGCAAACAAACUAGCUAGGAGGCUCCAAACUAGGGGUACAAAUUCACGCUAUUCCCAAUUUAUUCUUAAUGUUGACACUGAUCCUAAUUUUAUGGCUCCUUUGUUUGACUCAAGUUAUGAAAGAUAGUUCUUCCACUUCACAAU
rnacentral:lncRNA from 1 species